rnacentral:sRNA from 1 species
CCCUAGCCCCGAUCGCAGCAUUUGUUUGAGCUCAUUUUUUUUGUUUCGGCGCGGCGGCAAAGCCGCCGCGCCGAAACAAAAAAAAUAGCGAGUGCGGAGAGCGGGAAAUAGC